UUUCGCCGCCCGCGACUCGGCGAGAAGUCCAUUGAACCUUAUCAUUUAGAGGAAGGAGAAGUCGUAACAAGGUUUCCGUAGGUGAACCUGCGGAAGGAUCAUUG
rnacentral:rRNA from 1 species